rnacentral:rRNA from 1 species
UACGGAGGGAGCAAGCGUUGUCCGGAAUCAUUGGGCGUAAAGCGCGCGUAGGUGGCCCGGUAAGUCCGCUCUGAAAGUCACAGGCUCAACCUGUGAAAGCGGGUGGAUACUGCCGGGCUAGAGUCCGGAAGAGGCGAGUGGAAUUCCUGGUGUAGCGGUGGAAUGCGCAGAUAUCAGGAGGAACACCAACGGCGAAGGCAGCUCGCUGGGACGGUACUGACACUGAGGCGCGAAAGCGUGGGGAGCGAACAGG